UUAUCUCUCUUUACAUUUAUUCUACAAUACGUUAUCAGUACUUAGUCUAUACCAAAAGAGCAGUGGCCCUCUCGAAAGAACGGAGCAGCGAUGGCGCAAUAUAGACAGACUACUAACGAAGGCAUGGCGCAGUCAACGGUUCUGCGUGCGGCUCUGAAAGGCCAUCUGUGGGCGAGACUUCGGCAGCCGUAGGCUACGCGUGCAUGACUGUUUCGCCACGGAUCGCCGUGGUGUUGUGGCCUGCUGGGAAGCGUGGCAUCACGACGACUAUCCCAGCAGGGCAUCACGACGACUAUGCACCAUGCCGGGAAGACGUGCAUGCAUAGCCACUCCGGCAUUCAAUAAAGAAACCGAUUCCGGAGAAAGCUAAUUGAUCUUUCUAUUUAUGAUUAGCAUAAUCCUAUGAAUAAUUGUGUUUCCUUCAAUCAGGAAUCAUCCAUCUAGAAAUGGAUAGGUCUCGAUGGCAGUUUUCCACAGGCAUUCGCGGAGGCAACGUGACGCCUGAGGCCCGACAUUAUUGUUGCGGAAAUGGCGCGUGCGGCCAUCGGACGUGGCAAGUUCCUUGACGAGGAGCACGGCGCUGCGCGAUCCUCGACCCGAAGUGAACGAAGCCUCAUGCAUGCACAAUUCCUAUGCGGCCAGCGACAGUUACCAAUGGAUAACACUCACGCAGGCACGGAUUAGGAAUUGCAUAUUCUCUCUAGCCAUCACGCAAGCACCAAAAGACUUUGAUCUAAUUGCUACAGGAUAAGGCCUUUCCUAGGAUCGAUCCCUGGCGUGGUGGCACUCGGCCACGGCUCCUUUGCAGAACUGUGCGGCACACAAAGAAGAACCGGUGGCGCAAUCACGACAAAGACAUGGAUUCAUCCGCUCGUAUGCAUAUGUACAAUAAAUUGAUUAGGAGAAAGUUGCUCAUACAAUUAAGAUCUACUAAUUAAUAUUGUGCAAUUUCUAUUCUUCUUUGAUGCAUGUACGAAUCGCUUGGAUUGAGUGUGUGCCACUCCAAAAGAGGACUGGAAGAUCUUCAUCAAGGCGGCCUGACACAGAGCAAUCGAGAGCAGCAGACUUCUUGGUACUCGUAUGCGUCAAUAACGAUGGAUUUACAUCGGCGACCUUCGGCCACGACCCUCGGCUCCAUUGCAGCGCAAUAGCGUCUACAUCUAGACAUGACCGCUCUAAGACAAAAGCGAUCAUGCGAGGUUAGUUGUGCAAGUCGAUGCGCUCUGGUGCAGAAACGGGCGCUCGUGGCCGCGACCUCUCGGCGGUGUCAAAUGGCUGGUACCCCGUCAGGUGGCGUCAUUCGUCGAGAUGGCCUCGUCUCUAGGCCAUCGGCGACAGUUAGGGGAAAUUCCCCUCCAGGAUUUGUAACCGCACGGGAAAGGAGAAGUCCAUCUCCUUGGCUAUAGUUUAGCCAUGAGAUUAUACGAAAAAAAUCGUAUAAUUUUCCAUAGUUUCUAUUUAAGCCGUCAGGCUUAUAGGACCGUGCGGUUUGUUCCUCAAGCUUAUGCAAAUUAUAGUUGAGCCAUCAAGCCAAUUAUAUUUUGUAGUUUAGUCCUCUGGUUUGCUGUUUUCAGCACUUUAACCAUAUGGUUAUCGGUAUUUGCGUUUUAUGCCCCGAGCAUUCAAAGCAAAUAUACAUGAUAGACUAUAAGGUAUUGCUGAAUUGCAU
rnacentral:lncRNA from 1 species